GAAAAAGAACCUGAAACCGUGUACGUACAAGCAGUGGGAGCCUCUUAAUGGGGUGACUGCGUACCUUUUGUAUAAUGGGUCAGCGACUUAUAUUCUGUAGCAAGGUUAACCGAAUAGGGGAGCCGAAGGGAAACCGAGUCUUAACUGGGCGUUAAGUUGCAGGGUAUAGACCCGAAACCCGGUGAUCUAGCCAUGGGCAGGUUGAAGGUUGGGUAACACUAACUGGAGGACCGAACCGACUAAUGUUGAAAAAUUAGCGGAUGACUUGUGGCUGGGGGUGAAAGGCCAAUCAAACCGGGAGAUAGCUGGUUCUCCCCGAAAGCUAUUUAGGUAGCGCCUCGUGAAUUCAUCUCCGGGGGUAGAGCACUGUUUCGGCAAGGGGGUCAUCCCGACUUACCAACCCGAUGCAAACUGCGAAUACCGGAGAAUGUUAUCACGGGAGACACACGGCGGGUGCUAACGUCCGUCGUGAAGAGGGAAACAACCCAGACCGCCAGCUAAGGUCCCAAAGUCAUGGUUAAGUGGGAAACGAUGUGGGAAGGCCCAGACAGCCAGGAUGUUGGCUUAGAAGCAGCCAUCAUUUAAAGAAAGCGUAAUAGCUCACUGGUCGAGUCGGCCUGCGCGGAAGAUGUAACGGGGCUAAACCAUGCACCGAAGCUGCGGCAGCGACACUAUGUGUUGUUGGGUAGGGGAGCGUUCUGUAAGCCUGUGAAGGUG
rnacentral:rRNA from 1 species